rnacentral:rRNA from 1 species
GACGAACGCUGGCGGCGUGCUUAACACAUGCAAGUCGAACGGAAAGGCCCUGCUUUUGUGGGGUGCUCGAGUGGCGAACGGGUGAGUAACACGUGAGUAACCUGCCCUUGACUUUGGGAUAACUUCAGGAAACUGGGGCUAAUACCGGAUAGGAGCUCCUGCUGCAUGGUGGGGGUUGGAAAGUUUCGGCGGUUGGGGAUGGACUUGCGGCUUAUCAGCUUGUUGGUGGGGUAGUGGCUUACCAAGGCUUUGACGGGUCGCCGGCCUGAGAGGGUGACCGGCCACAUUGGGACUGAGAUACGGCCCAGACUCCUACGGGAGGCAGCAGUGGGGAAUAUUGCACAAUGGGCGGAAGCCUGAAGCAGCAACGCCGCGUGCGGGAUGACGGCCUUCGGGUUGUAAACCGCUUUCGCCUGUGACGAAGCGUGAGUGACGGUAAUGGGUAAAGAAGCACCGGCUAACUACGUG